GCAACCCCGCGCGGAGGGGUCGUCGGAGAUUUAGACGUGACGAAGUCGGUGGCCUGUCCAACUGGAGCGGGCUGAGGAGAAGAGGUCGACUCGACCUAAGAGCAUCGUGAUCUAGGAAUGCAGCUGCCGCGAUCCCGCAGAUCUCGGUUUGGCUGCCGGCAGCGGCGCCGGCUGGCCACAAUAGACGGGGUACAGCGUCGGCUCGGACAGAAGGAAGCCCUGCACAUGCGUUGCGCCGGCCUUUUUGACGGCUUCGAGCUGUCCGUAGGUCUCGAUGCCCUCGAUGAUCACCGUCGGCGCGACGCAUGAAGCGA
rnacentral:sRNA from 1 species